rnacentral:rRNA from 1 species
CACCGCGGUUAUACGAGAGACCCUAGUUGACAUCUACGGCGUAAAGAGUGGUUAGAAAUACAACAUAAAACUAAAGCCAAAGAUUUUCCAAGCCGUCGUACGCACCACGAAGACACGAAGCCCAAACACGAAAGUAGCUUUAUUAUUAAACCGACCCCACGAAAGCUAAGAAA